ACGACCACACCCACUGGAGAACUCGGGAUCCCGUCCGCUCUCCCAUAGAUAAGCCAGUGAGGGCCGGAUUAGUAGUUGGGUCGGUGACGACCAGCGAAUACCUGGUGUUGUAUGUC
rnacentral:rRNA from 1 species